UACGGAGGAUGCGAGCGUUAUCCGGAUUUAUUGGGUUUAAAGGGUGCGUAGGCGGAUCGUUAAGUCAGUGGUCAAAUUGAGGGGCUCAACCCCUUCCCGCCAUUGAAACUGGCGAUCUUGAGUGGAAGAGAAGUAUGCGGAAUGCGUGGUGUAGCGGUGAAACGCAUAGAUAUCACGCAGAACCCCGAUUGCGAAGGCAGCAUGCCGGCUUCCUACUGACGCUGAAGCACGAAAGCGUGGGGAGCAAACAGG
rnacentral:rRNA from 1 species